ensembl:lncRNA
UCACAGUGCAAUGCAAACUCUGCUUGCCAGCGAAGAAGAUGCUCUCUGCGUCAAAAGACUCCACCUCCAACCUAAGAAAACAUCUGAAAGUAAGUUAUUUUAAAAAAACUAAAGUUAACAUACUGCAAAUAUUUUAUUUUAGUUGUGGUAGCUACCUAGGCUAUGUGCCACUUCAGUAGCUUCGAUAUAAUAUUGCUGUGAUUUUAGCUAACAUUGUUAGCUGGCAUUAGCUAACGUUAGUUCAUAGACGGGUAAACUUGAUGGAUAGCAUUAACGAGCUCUAAAUUAUGGUGUGCAGUUGUGAAAGCCAUCCCAAAAUGAUUAACAGUAGGGUGGACAUUAAGGUUGGGCGAGAUUAAAAAUUUUUCCAACCGACAAUCGUCAGUCAAACGAUAACCAACAUAAUCGUGCAGGUGACUUGUUAAUGGGCGGAGCAAUGUAAUAAUGCACGGACUGAUUUGCGCAUUUAGAACAUAAAUAGAAAGUUUAGUUUGGGGGGGAUAUUUUUUCUUUUUUUUUUGUUGGAGUUUCUGUAUUAACAUAGCUACUUUUUGGAUUAUUCCUUUAUUUAUUCGAGAUGCACCAAAUUGCACAAAAAACAUAACUUUACCUCUGAUAUUUUUUUAUGGUCGCUGGAAGUGACAUUUUGGUUUUUAACUUAUUUGUUUUUUGGUCGAGUAUCUAAGACAUAAACACUGGAACACAGUUAAAGUGGAAAAAGAAGUCAGUUUCUUGGUAUCCCUCCCCACCAUUGUGGUUUGUUUAUUUAAAUUAAAUGUUGUUUUUUUUUCUGAAGAUAGACUACUGCUUUUCUUUCAUUCUGUUAUGAGUUUGAGUAAAUGAAUCGCUGCAUUUGUUUAUGCCGUUAAAACACCGCUAUUAUAUUUUCCAUUGACUGCUUCUCUUACCUUCAACCAACAUUAUUAUUAUUAUUAUACUUACUCAUGGGCAAAAAAAAAUUAAAAAAUUCCUCUUGUAAAAACCAUUGGCGAAAGGCUCAACUUAUUGUUGAUAGUCGAGAUAUUCGUCCAGUUGCCCAACCUUUUUGCAGUGAUCUCAAAUACAAAACAAUUUCUUCAUCAGUAAUAUUUUAUUUUUUGGUUGGUCUCUCUCUCUUUUUUUUUUUUUCCAGAGGAUGCAUCCCAGGGUUAUACACAGUUUACCCAAAGCAAAUACAUCGGAUCAUGUUGAUGAUGGCAAAGACACAGCCCCUCCUCCUCUCAAACAAGCCAUCCUUAGCACUCCAGCCAUCACCCAAAGGAGAGUAAAUUCCUUGAUAUUUGACUUCAUAGUCAAUGAAGUGCAGCCCUUUUCUACCGUUGAGAACACCUCAUUCCGUAAGAUGGUUGAAGGACUAAGUGGGGGCAGGAGUCCUGUUUGCAGAAAAACAUUGAUGACUCACAUUGAGAAAACCUUUCCAAAAAUGAAGGAAGCAAUAACUGAAAUUCUUCUACAUACUCAAAAUGUGUGCACAACAGCAGAU